AUUGAACGCUGGCGGCAAGCCUAACACAUGCAAGUCGAACGAGUGGCGGACGGGUGAGUAAUGUCUGGGAAACUGCCCGAUGGCGGGGGAUCACUACUGGAAACGGUAGCUAAUACCGCAUACCAUCGGAUGUGCCCAGAUGGGAUUAGCUAGUAGGUGGGGGAACGGCUCACCUAGGCGACGAGCCCUAGCUGGUCUGAGAGGAUGACCAGCCACACUGGAAUGAGGACACGGUCCAGACUCCUACGGGAGGCAUGAGAGGGGAAUAUUGCACCAUCGGCGCAAGCCUGAUGCAGCCAUGCCGCGUGUAUGAAGAAGGCCUUCGGGUGGUAAAGUACUUUCAGCGAGGAGGCGUUACUCGCAGAAGAAGCACCGGCUAACUCCGUGCCAGCAGCCGCGGUAAUUC
rnacentral:rRNA from 1 species